UGAAAACAUCAUCCCACCGGUUUCCGGUGACGAUGGACUUGGGUGUUGCCGACCGGCUCGCCUCAAAAGUGUUAGUGGUCCCCUCGAUCGGAUCUGGCGUAAUAAGUUUCGCUGGCCAUGGUCGGGAGUCUGCUCAUAACCCGUCUUCUGACAUCUUUUGCUCUGACCUCAAAUCAGGUAGGACUACCCGCUGAACUUAA
rnacentral:misc_RNA from 1 species